rnacentral:rRNA from 1 species
UAGAGUUUGAUCCUGGCUCAGGACGAACGCUGGCGGCGUGCUUAACACAUGCAAGUCACGGGGGCUCGCAAGGGCAACCGGCGAACGGGUGCGUAACACGUGAGCAAUCUGCCGAUUUCUGGGGGAUAGCCGGCCCAACGGCCGGGUAAUACCGCAUACGUUCUCGAGGGGGAGUCCCCUUGGGAAGAAACCUCCGGGGGAAAUCGAGGAGCUCGCGGCCUAUCAGCUAGUUGGCGGUGUAAUGGACCACCAAGGCUAUGACGGGUAGCUGGUCUGAGAGGAUGGCCAGCCACAUUGGGACUGAGAGACGGCCCAGACUCCUACGGGAGGCAGCAGUGGGGAAUCUUGCGCAAUGGCCGAAAGGCUGACGCAGCGACGCCGCGUGUGGGAUGAAGCAUUUCGGUGUGUAAACCACUGUUGCCCGGGACGAACAGCUUCUUUCGAGGAGCCUGACGGUACCGGGUGAGGAAGCACCGGCUAACUCCGUGCCAGCAGCCGCGGUACGC